rnacentral:rRNA from 1 species
UACGUAGGGUGCGAGCGUUAAUCGGAAUUACUGGGCGUAAAGCGUGCGCAGGCGGUUUUGUAAGCCAGAUGUGAAAUCCCCGGGCUUAACCUGGGAAUGGCAUUUGGGACUGCAAGGCUGGAGUGUGGCAGAGGAGACUGGAAUUCCUGGUGUAGCAGUGAAAUGCGUAGAUAUCAGGAGGAAUACCGAUGGCGAAGGCAGCCCCCUGGGUUAACACUGACGCUCAUGCACGAAAGCGUGGGGAGCAAACAGG